GAUGAACGCUGGCGGCGUGCCUAAUACAUGCAAGUCGAGCGAACAGAUAGGGAGCUUGCUCCUUUGACGUUAGCGGCGGACGGGUGAGUAACACGUGGAUAACCUACCUAUAAGACUGGGAUAACUUCGGGAAACCGGAGCUAAUACCGGAUAACAUAUUGAACCGCAUGGUUCAAUAGUGAAAGGCGGCUUUGCUGUCACUUAUAGAUGGAUCCGCGCCGUAUUAGCUAGUUGGUAAGGUAACGGCUUACCAAGGCAACGAUACGUAGCCGACCUGAGAGGGUGAUCGGCCACACUGGAACUGAGACACGGUCCAGACUCCUACGGGAGGCAGCAGUAGGGAAUCUUCCGCAAUGGGCGAAAGCCUGACGGAGCAACGCCGCGUGAGUGAUGAAGGUCUUCGGAUCGUAAAACUCUGUUAUCAGGGAAGAACAAAUGUGUAAGUAACUGUGCACAUCUUGACGGUACCUAAUCAGAAAGCCACGGCUAACUACGUG
rnacentral:rRNA from 1 species